GAUGAAGAACGCAGCAAAAUGCGAUAAGUAAUGUGAAUUGCAGAAUUCAGUGAAUCAUCGAAUCUUUGAACGCACAUUGCGCCCGCUGGUAUUCCGGCGGGCAUGCCUGUUCGAGCGUCAUUUCAACCCUCAAGCCCCCCGGGUUUGGUGUUGGGGAUCGGCUCUGCCUCACGGCGGUGCCGCCCCCGAAAUACAUUGGCGGUCUCGCUGCAGCCUCCAUUGCGUAGUAGCUAACACCUCGCAACUGGAACGCGGCGCGGCCAUGCCGUAAAACCCCAACUUCUGAAUGUUGACCUCGGAUCAGGUAGGAAUACCCGCUGAACUUAAGCAUAUCAAGCGGAGGA
rnacentral:misc_RNA from 1 species